rnacentral:rRNA from 1 species
AGAGUUUGAUCAUGGCUCAGGAUGAAUGUUGGCGGCGUGCCUGAGAUAUGCAAGUCGAACGACCCGUCGCAAGACGGGAGUGGCGGACGGCUGAGUAACACGUAGGAACCUACCCCCUUCUGGAGAAUAGCCUGCCGAAAGGCGGGAUAAUACUCCAUGAUCCCGGCCUAGCCGGGUAAAGAGCUUAACUGCUUGGAAAGGGAUGGGCCUGCGGCUUAUCACGGUAGUUGGUAGGGUAACUGCCUACCAAGCCUAUAACGAGUAGCUGGUCUUAGAGGAUGGACAGCCAGAGGGGGACUGACACACGGCCCCCACUCCUACGGGAGGCAGCAAUCAGGAAUAGUCGGCAAUGGGCGAAAGCCUGACCGCGCGACGCCGCGUGUAGGAAUAAAUUCUAACGAAUGUAAACUACUGUAGUAGGGGAAGAAGCCCCGACUUAGUCGGGGUUGACGGUACCUUACUAGAAAGGGGCCGCUAACUGCGUGCCAGAAGCGUCGGUAAUACGUGGGCCCCAAACAUUAUCCGGUUUUAUUGGGUGUAAAAAGUAGUGUAGGUGGUCUGAUAAGUCUUGUUUUAAAUUUUUUGGCUUAACCAGAAAAAAGGGCGAGAUACUAUCAGACUAGAGUUAUCUUUAGGGAGAUUGGAACUCAAGGAGGAGUAGUGAAAUGCGUUGAUACCUUGGGGAACACCAGUGGCGAAGGCGAAUCUCUGAAAGAUAACUGACACUAAGACACGAAAGCUAGGGUAGCGAAGCAGAUUAGAGACCUGCGUAGUCCUAGCCCUAAACGCAUGCUUGCUAGCCGCAUUUUUCCCCUUUGGGGAGAGGUGUAGCGAAGGUAACCCGUUAAGCAAGCUACCUGGGGAGUACGACCGCAAGGUUAAAACUCAAAGGAAUUGACGG